CUCUCUCUCCUUCCCCAUCAAGACUCGCUUCGCCCAAUCCCCGCCUCUUCGUCCGUCUCCACAGGCCAUCGUCAGCCGCCGCCGUCGCCCGUCAUUGUCUUCCUCACUGCCUGCUUGCCAUAUAGCAAUGGCUUUCCUCGCUGUCGCUGCCGCUGCUGUGUUCGGUUAGGGGGUUCCCACGCUCACGGUGAAGAGGCUAUGGCAAAGGGCAUGCAGAGGAGCAGCAGGGCUCACUGAGGGGGAGAGGGCGUUACAAAGGGGAGCCGUGAAGGAGGAGGGGCCGCGGCAGCAGGAGCUCGCGAUGGCGGAGAAGAUUCCGUGGCGGUGAAGCGGAGCUUGCAUAUGUGCGGACCGCGCUCCGCCGGCAAGGUUGCGCCCACGUUGCUGAAGUAGCAGGGGAAGCCGAAGGAGGGGGCGCGGUAGCCGGCGGGGCGACCCACGUCGCUGAAGUAGCAGGGGAAGCUGAACGAGGGCGCACGGCAUCCUGUGGCCACGAUAGCCGGCGGGGCGACGCGGCAUCGCUGACUCUGCAUCCACCGCCGUCCCUUUGAGUCUCGCGUGGUGGCCGGCAGGGUGACAGGAGGAGGGGCACGGGUUGCUGCUCAUGGCACUGCUGCGCCCAGGCUCUUCCUCCUUGACAAGUCUAGGUCAUUCCUCAUCUCAUCUGACCACACUCAUGCCACAUAACCUGCUACAGCCGCGCGCUGUGUGUGGCGAGGGAUUACUUCUCCUGUGCAGUAAUACCCUUUUUGGAGUGUCCCAUGUUUGCAACUAUCCUUAUCUGCAGAGAAAAACAAAGGGACAAACAAAGUCCGGAUGCAAGGAGCAAGGCAGGAAAGGCGGUAGUAGGUCGAGAGAAGUGUAGAAGAGGGUUCCUCCAGGCUCCAUCCAUGUACGGUGUCGGUCCGAUGCCUCGGGCAUGUGGCAAUGUCGGGGACCAGCGAGGAAGAUGUUGGUGUACAUCCUUUGGAAUAAAGUUGAAGUCUCUGAUAUAACGGUUCAGAAUAAAUAUCCAAUGAAGAUGAUGCGUGACGAACAGCAUGGUGAUGAUCCAUAAAGCCCUACAUUGUUCUUUUGCUCGCUGGUGACUUUACUACUUUCUGAUUGCAUGCCAAGUAGCCGAGCAGACACUUUCUUCGUAGAUUAGUUGUUUAGUUUCAUAUACUGAAUGCUUUGUCGAGUGCGGUGUCAUUGCAACAGCAGAGCUCAAACAUCCUUCAAAGUAUGUCUCAGGUUUAAGAAUGCUAAGCCCAGCAGUCUAUAAUGCAUAUAUAAAAGAUGGAAACUACACAAUCAUAUCCUUAGAGUGCAUAAAUAUCAUCUAUGCUGUUGGGAAUUAUAAUGAAAUAUUGAUAACUGAAUGAAUACUCUUGUUAGCUCACCGGGUGAUGGAAUUAAAUUGAAGAGACAUAUUCUGAAAAUCAAAAUUAUUUCUGAGUUUGUAUUCUACUCGUACACAUCUUCAUAUCCACUAGCACAUUCAAAUUCCAUAUAUGCAUGGAGUAGCAGUACGAUUGGUCAAAAUAAAAAGACAGGAUGCUGCUUUGCAGAAAGUGGUCGUCAAGUAAUUAUUCUGCUGUUGGAAAUCGCCCACGAUCGAUCACAAUUCACAUCAAGUCGACGAACAUGACACACAAAAACUUUUGGCCAAAGGCAUGUGCCAUGUCUUGUUCUUCUCUUUAUUUCUUUUCUAUUUUCUCCACACGAUUACAAAACUCAUGCAGCUUCAUGUGUGUGUGUGUGUCUAUACACACACGCGCGCGCGCGAAGCCAUGAGCCCAUGACCCAAUAACUGAACCGAGUAGUGGAAUAUUGUUGGUGCAAAUAAAUGUUCUUUGAGUUUAGAUGAUGCAUGGAUAAAUAACUCUAUGUGAUGAUUUAUUUGCCGGCACUGAUUACAUUCCCCAUGCAUUGUUGACGUUCCCACCCUUUGCCCUGCUAAUUCACGAAUUAGGUUUCAGACCCGAUAGCUUGUUAUGCUGUGUUGCAAUUAAACAGAAGUAUGGAUCUAGGAAAUUCAUGACUAGCUAUUGGUCUUCCUAUCAGCAGUAGAGAGAUGCCUGGUCAGCAGAUAUAUGUGUCUGAAACCUUUGCAUGGUGUACAUGCUAUACUAUGUAAUAAAUAAAAGGUAGUUUAAUUUUUUAUUAUGCUGCUAAGAUACCCAAUCAGACUGAUUAUACAUACACCCAAAACAAUAUAUUAUAGUCUGAACUAUGAAACUAUACUCAAGAGGAAAGGUCAUACAUCAAUCCUUUCUGCAGAUUUCUUAUCAGCUCAUUCUGUCCUGUAUGAUUAUUUUAUGCCACGCAAAUUGCUAGAUAUAUUCAUACUCUCCGUUUAACCAUAACAUCAAGAACACCCAAAAAUUAGCAAUCCUAACAGGUCUGCUGCUUGCGGGCAGAAAGUAACUAUCAAGGAAGAAGAGUUAGAUGCUAGCCACAUACCUGUCGAAGAUAUUGGCGGUAAGCAUGUGUCGUACAGGUUAUUUAUGCUUUCCCUUAAGCCAUUCUUAGCCAACCCCGUGCGGUCCAUGCGCUAUGCAUAAGAACCACAGAUCGCUCAAGCAGCGUCGAAGCCUGCCUGUGACUGUUCCAAAUGCAUGCUUAUCAAUCCAGGUCCGACUUCUGUUCCACCAGUCUACUUCAAAAUGUUAGACAUCCAACAGUUACAGAUGUUCACGCUGCUUACUUCCUACCUUACUGCUUCAUUGUUUUAUUACAAAAGCCAGCUCUGAGGCAAAAACUUGAACACAGAGCUUCACACAGCAAUGUUUGCCUCAGCAACAACGCCACAGGUUAUGAUAAAUAUCGUCGCGUGGCUUAUGGAAGGAGCUGCUGACAGGACUAUCUUAACAACAAACUUGACGGAGUUCUUCACAUAGCAAACAUAGAUGAAGGAACGAUGUAUGCCUUCACCUUUACGCGCAAGGCAAAGCGCCUCCGCCUCUAACCAUUCACUCCAAAUGAGGACACCAUCAUAAACCUUCAGUGUCACCUAUAUACAGCUUGUGUACAGGACUUCAUGUUUAUAAUACUCCUAUGCUAUCUCCACAUUGGUUUGUCUUUCCUUAUGGAUUACCUCUUAGUAUAGAUAUUAUAGACCGUCCAUUUGAACUACUAUAAGUAUCAGCAAAGAUAGAUAAGCCUAUAUUUCUCUCUUCCUUAAGGUGCCCUGCAAUAGUCACAUAAUGCACGGUUCUAACUGGCUUUUUGCGCUAUGGGCGCAACGGGUCAUCUAGUCCAUAUAACACUUGAACCGCUCAAUGGAAGAAUUAAACAUCUGGGUUUUCACUUUGUUUAUUUUGGUUCCAGAUUUACUUUAACCUUUUUUUUCUUUUCAUUUUAGUAUUUUAGUCUAAACUUUUAAUUCUUGAACCGAUGAAUACUUUUAUUUUGUUUUUUGUUUUUUUAACUAAAUGAACACCUUUAAAAAAAUAUGACAAUUUUCUAGAAAAAUUGUGGAUAUUUUUUGAAAAUCCAUGAAGAUUUGCUGAUUCAUGACUUUUUAAUAGAUGAACAUUUGUCCUUUAAAAAAUGAAAAUAUUUUUAAUUUGUGAACAUUUUUUUAAAUCAUGAAUAUUUUCUCCUUUCUGGCUUUUUAAAAUAAGAAAAUCUGAACUUCUUUCAAAAAUUGACCUUUCUAUUUUUUGACAUUUUAAAGAAUCUGUGAACAUUGAUGAGGACAUAUGAGGGCAUCCCUAGUACGAUUUAAUUCACAACGCACAUGACUACACCAACUCAAGUUCUAGAGAUACAAGGAUCUAGAGCUCACACAUGACAACUUG